rnacentral:ribozyme from 1 species
UUUUUAAUGCUGCCUGUUUGAAAUAACAUUUAUGUCAUAAUGCUUAAGUGUUUUUUCAAACUGAAGGUUCCAAGCCCUUUAAAAGCAGAGGAAAAG